UAGCGGCAGGCUUAACACAUGCAAGUCGAACGGCAGCACGGGAGCAAUCCUGGUGGCGAGUGGCGAACGGGUGAGUAAUAUAUCGGAACGUGCCCGGUCGUGGGGGAUAACGUAGCGAAAGCUACGCUAAUACCGCAUACGAUCUACGGAUGAAAGCGGGGGAUCGCAAGACCUCGCGCGAUUGGAGCGGCCGAUAUCAGAUUAGGUAGUUGGUGAGGUAAAGGCUCAACCAAGCCGACGAUCUGUAGCUGGUCUGAGAGGACGACCAGCCACACUGGGACUGAGACACGGCCCAGACUCCUACGGGAGGCAGCAGGUGGGGAAUUUUGGACAAUGGGCGCAAGCCUGAUCCAGCAAUGCCGCGUGCAGGAUGAAGGCCGUUCGGGUUAGUAAACUGUCUUUUGUACGGAACGAAACGGUGAGCUCUAAUACAGUUUGCUAAUGACGGUACCGUAAGAAUAAGCACCGGCUAACUACGUG
rnacentral:rRNA from 1 species